UGGUCACAUGAUGAUAGUUCGUCUGCCACAGAUAGUUAUCACAAUAACUUAAAUUUAACAUUUUAAAUUAACGUAGUCAGAGUAUGUGAAUUGUCUGUUAAGCCUGUUACGGUUAAUUUACUUGCAAGCAUUUUCUGAAGUAUUGCAGAUAAACAGCAUGAAUCCUUCAUCUGCACCCUCCCCUGCAGAGCAGGCUCCACUCUAUAAUAACCAUAUACCUGAUAGGCCUCUUUUUGGAGAAUCUACUAGAAGGGGCCGUCUGCUAAAUCUAAUUGUGGGAACAUUAGCAAGUCUGUUUGUUGCUGCCCACUUCAGGCAAAGAACAAAAUACAUUUGACUGUGGUGGAGAAUCUGUUGGAACAUAACAUAACACGAGAUGCACAGAGCAAGACAAGUUGAUAAUACCUAACAAAGUAUACAUAAAACAUUGUUAGCAAAGAUAUUAGUGAACUGAACAUACAACAACUUUUCACCAUUUUGUAUGUUAGACUACUGUGAUUUGUUACCCUGUAUGUUAGACUAUUGUGAUUUGUUACCCUGUAUGUUAGACUACUGUGAUUUGUUACCCUGUAUGUUAGACUAUUGUGAUUUGUUACCCUGUAUGUUAGACUAUUGUGAUUUGUUACCCUGUAUGUUAGACUAUUGUGAUUUGUUACCCUGUAUGUUAGACUAUUGUGAUUUGUUACCCUGUAUGUUAGACUACUGUGAUUUGUUACCCUGUAUGUUAGACUACUGUGAUUUGUUACACAUGAACAGCAAGUGUACAUUGAUAGAUU